rnacentral:rRNA from 1 species
AUUGAACGCUGGCGGCAGGCUUAACACAUGCAAGUCGAGCGAGUGGCGGACGGGUGAGUAAUGUCUGGGAAACUGCCUGAUGGAGGGGGAUAACUACUGUAAACGGUAGCUAAUACCGCAUACCAUCAGAUGUGCCCAGAUGGGAUUAGCUAGUGGGUUGGGUAAGGGCUCACCAAGGCGACGAUCCAUAGCUGGUCUGAGAGGAGGACCAGCCACACUGGAACUGAGCCACGGUCCAGACUCCUACGGGAGGCAGCAGUGGGGAAUAUUGCACAAUGGGCGCAAGCCGGAUGCAGCCAUGCCGCGUGUGUGAAGAAGGCCUUCGGGUUGUAAAGCACUUUCAGCGGGGAGGCGUUACUCGCAGAAGAAGCACCGGCUAACUCCGUGCCAGCAGCCGCGGUAAUAC